ensembl:misc_RNA Y_RNA Y RNA
GGCUUGUCCAAUGUAGUGGUUAUCAGAACUGAUUAACAUUGGUGUCACUAAAGUUGGUACACGACCCCACACUGCUAAAUGUGACUGGCUUAAC